rnacentral:rRNA from 1 species
UAACACGAAGUGAGUGGCGGACGGGUGAGUAACACGUGGGUAACCUGCCCAGAAGCAGGGGAUAACACCUGGAAACAGAUGCUAAUACCGUAUAACAGAGAAAACCGCCUGGUUUUCUUUUAAAAGAUGGCUCUGCUAUCACUUCUGGAUGGACCCGCGGCGCAUUAGCUAGUUGGUGAGGUAACGGCUCACCAAGGCGAUGAUGCGUAGCCGACCUGAGAGGGUAAUCGGCCACAUUGGGACUGAGACACGGCCCAGACUCCUACGGGAGGCAGCAGUAGGGAAUCUUCCACAAUGGACGCAAGUCUGAUGGAGCAACGCCGCGUGAGUGAAGAAGGGUUUCGGCUCGUAAAGCUCUGUUGUUAAAGAAGAACGUGGGUGAGAGUAACUGUUCACCCAGUGACGGUAUUUAACCAGAAAGCCACGGCUAACUACGUGCCAGCAGCCGCGGUAAUACGUAGGUGGCAAGCGUUAUCCGGAUUUAUUGGGCGUAAAGCGAGCGCAGGCGGUCUUUUAAGUCUAAUGUGAAAGCCUUCGGCUCAACCGAAGAAGUGCAUUGGAAACUGGGAGACUUGAGUGCAGAAGAGGACAGUGGAACUCCAUGUGUAGCGGUGAAAUGCGUAGAUAUAUGGAAGAACACCAGUGGCGAAGGCGGCUGUCUGGUCUGUAACUGACGCUGACGCUCGAAAGCAUGGGUAGCGAACAGGAUUAGAUACCCUGGUAGUCCAUGCCGUAAACGAUGAUUACUAAGUGUUGGGAGGGUUUCCGCCCCUUCAGUGCUGCAGCUAACGCAUUUAAGUAA